rnacentral:rRNA from 1 species
AGAAUCAACGCUGGCGGCGUGCCUAACACAUGCAAGUCGCACGAGAAAGGGUAGCAAUACCUGGAGUACAGUGGCGCACGGGUGAGUAACACGUGAAUAAUCUACCUCCGAGUGGGGAAUAAACUGAGAGAAAUCUUAGCUAAUACCGCAUAAUACCCACGGGUCAAAGCAGCAAUGCGCUUGGAGAGGAGUUCGCGGCAGAUUAGUUAGUUGGCGGGGUAAUGGCCCACCAAGCGAUGAUCUGUAUCC